rnacentral:rRNA from 1 species
GCUAAACAUAUUACCGAAGCUGUGGAUUGUCCUUUGGACAAUGGUAGGAGAGCGUUCUAAGGGCGUUGAAGCAUGAUCGCAAGGACAUGUGGAGCGCUUAGAAGUGAGAAUGCCGGUGUGAGUAGCGAAAGACGGGUGAGAAUCCCGUCCACCGAUUGACUAAGGUUUCCAGAGGAAGGCUCGUCCGCUCUGGGUUAGUCGGGUCCUAAGCUGAGGCCGACAGGCGUAGGCGAUGGAUAACAGGUUGAUAUUCCUGUACCACCAUUAUUCGUUUUAAGCGAUGGGGGGACGCAGUAGGAUAGGCGAAGCGUGCUGUUGGAGUGCACGUCCAAGCAGUGAGAUUGAGUGUUAGGCAAAUCCGGCACUCUUAAGAUUGAGCUGUGAUGGGGAGAGGAACUUGUUCCUCGAGUCGUUGAUUUCACACUGCCGAGAAAAGCCUCUAGCUAGAAUAACGGUGCCCGUACCGCAAACCGACACAGGUAGUCAAGAUGAGAAUUCUAAGGUGAGCGAGCGAACUCUCGUUAAGGAACUCGGCAAAAUGACCCCGUAACUUCGGGAGAAGGGGUGCUCUUUGAGGUUCACGCUUCGAAGAGCCGCAGUGAAUAGGCCCAAGCGACUGUUUAUCAAAAACACAGGUCUCUGCUAAACCGUAAGGUGACGUAUAGGGGCUGACGCCUGCCCGGUGCUGGAAGGUUAAGAGGAGUGGUUAGCGCAAGCGAAGCUACGAAUCGAAGCCCCAGUAAACGGCGGCCGUAACUAUAACGGUCCUAAGGUAGCGAAAUUCCUUGUCGGGUAAGUUCCGACCCGCACGAAAGGCGUAACGAUUUGGGCACUGUCUCAACGAGAGACUCGGUGAAAUCAUAGUACCGGUGAAGAUGCCGGUUACCCGCGACAGGACGGAAAGACCCCGUGGAGCUUUACUGUAGCCUGAUAUUGAAAUUCGGUACAGUUUGUACAGGAUAGGUAGGAGCCUUAGAAGCGUGAGCGCUAGCUUACGUGGAGGCAUUGGUGGGAUACUACCCUAAUUGUAUUGGAUUUCUAACCCGCAGCACUUAUCGUGCUGGGAGACAGUGUCAGGCGGGCAGUUUGACUGGGGCGGUCGCCUCCUAAAGAGUAACGGAGGCGCUCAAAGGUUCCCUCAGAAUGGUUGGAAAUCAUUCAUAGAGUGUAAAGGCAUAAGGGAGCUUGACUGCGAGACCUACAAGUCGAGCAGGGUCGAAAGACGGACUUAGUGAUCCGGUGGUUCCGCAUGGAAGGGCCAUCGCUCAACGGAUAAAAGCUACCCCGGGGAUAACAGGCUUAUCUCCCCCAAGAGUUCACAUCGACGGGGAGGUUUGGCACCUCGAUGUCGGCUCAUCGCAUCCUGGGGCUGUAGUCGGUCCCAAGGGUUGGGCUGUUCGCCCAUUAAAGCGGUACGCGAGCUGGGUUCAGAACGUCGUGAGACAGUUCGGUCCCUAUCCGUCGUGGGCGUAGGAAAUUUGAGAGGAGCUGUCCUUAGUACGAGAGGACCGGGAUGGACAUACCUCUGGUGUACCAGUUGUCGUGCCAACGGCAUAGCUGGGUAGCUAUGUAUGGACGGGAUAAGUGCUGAAAGCAUCUAAGCAUGAAGCCCCCCU